UUUCAAGUGGACACAAUAUCUUUAUUUUACAUUUAUGUGGUGUGGAGGAUCGAACUCCGUGCCUCAAGCAUGCCAGGCUGGCACUCUACCACUAAGCCACAACCCCAGCCCCACCUUUAUUAUUUUUUAAAAAGCUUCCUUGGCUCUCUAAUCCCUGUACAUCUCCCUGAACUAGCUCUCUCUGUCCUGUGAGCACUGUCUUUGGCUGGUUCACCCAGUUUUGUCUCCCAAGGCUCCUCAGGUUUCCCCACUGGUUCCCCCACCACGGUGUUGCUGUAAAUUCCAUAUCAUAGCCUGUCUUCUCAGGGUAUCCUCAUUGCAAUAUGUUGAUUAAUUGAUGCUUUCUAGGUGGGCACAGGGGGAGCCCUGAUGACACUGUGGUGUGAAUAUUGCCACAAUGGCCUACUUCAAGCUACCAACAGUCUAAUAAUCAAUUCACAAAUUAUCUGAAUAAUGAGUAACAAAUCUCACAAGCUACCAAGAGCAGGCUCCAGCACAUGACUGAUGUCAUUCCAGUUGAAUACUCUUUCUCUUUGUUCAAGAGAUCUUCUCAGACUCUGCAACCACCAUGAAGUUUCAUAGGAACUUCUACUAUGCCCUGCUUCCAGCAUUAGGGACACCUCUAGUUUAGAACCUGUUCAUAGUGAUGAAAUGAUUGGCAUGCCCUUAAACUCAAUAAAUUUCUGAGCACUUUCUGGACUAGAUAUUAAGUCCACUUUCCUCCUUAGAUCGAAACUCAUUUUCUCUGCCCCUGAGAAGUUGAUGAUUGGUAAGUAUUUUCUGUCUUUCUUCUCUCCUUUCUUUAUUACUCUCUUAAAUGCUGUGUUGCUUAUUUAAAACCAAAGAGACAUACUAUAGACUAUUUGUCCCCUACAAAUUCAUAUUGAAAUCCUAACCCCUGAUAUGAUAGUAUUAGGAGGUGAUCUUUGGUUAGGUGAUCAGGUCACAAGGGAAGAGCUCCUUAUUCCUGGCACCAGGGAUUGAACCCAGAGCCACAUCCAUAGUCCCAUACCCAUAUUUUUUUGAGACAGUGUAUUGCUAAACUGCAGAAAGUUACCUUGAACUUGUGAUCCUCCUGCUUCAUCCUCCUGAGUCAUUGGGAUUAUAGGCAUGUGCCACUAUGCUCAGUUCAAAGUCCCUUCUUUAAAAAAAAUUAUUUUUUUAUUCUAAUUUGUGAUACAUGACAGCAGAAUGCAUUUCAAUUCAUAGUACACAUAUAGAGCACAAUUUUUCAUUUCUCUGGUCGUACACAAAGUAGCAUCACACCAUUUGCAUCUCCAUACAUGUACUUAGGCCCUUCUUAAAGAGAUUACCGAAAACUCCCUUGUCCUCAAGUUAGAAAUACAUUUCCUUUGCUAAUAAUACCUAGUUUCUGGUACUCUGUUAUGGCUGCCUACAUGGACUAAGAUAAACAUAUAUACAAAAAAUUUUCACUUGGGACCCAAGAAGGAAAAUUUUGUCUAAAUUGUAAUUUCUUCUGAUCUCAUGAGAGCAAUAGGAUUAGAAAGACAGAGCCAAACUCAUGAGAGUUGAACAAAAAAAAGGCUAAGACUUGUCCUAAAGCUUGAGAAAAACAAUGGUCUUUAUUGUUCCCAAUCUGGGUCCAAAACCUCAUGACUGCUCAUAAUUCUAAGCAAAAAGAAACUAAUAUUUUAAAAUAAUUUAAAACUUUCUGAUCAGCCAAAUAAAAAACUUCAAGAAGAGCAAAUCCC
rnacentral:tRNA from 1 species